rnacentral:rRNA from 1 species
AACGAACGCUGGCGGCAUGCCUAACACAUGCAAGUCGAACGAGAUCUUCGGGUCUAGUGGCGCACGGGUGCGUAACGCGUGGGAAUCUGCCCUUUGGUUCGGAAUAACAGUUGGAAACGACUGCUAAUACCGGAUGAUGACGAAAGUCCAAAGAUUUAUCGCCAGAGGAUGAGCCCGCGUAGGAUUAGCUAGUUGGUGUGGUAAAGGCGCACCAAGGCGACGAUCCUUAGCUGGUCUGAGAGGAUGAUCAGCCACACUGGGACUGAGACACGGCCCAGACUCCUACGGGAGGCAGCAGUGGGGAAUAUUGGACAAUGGGCGAAAGCCUGAUCAGCAAUGCCGCGUGAGUGAUGAAGGCCUUAGGGUUGUAAGGCUCUUUUACCCGGGAUGAUAAUGACAGUACCGGGAGAAUAAGCUCCGGCUAACUCCGUGCCAGCCGCCGCAGUAA